CCUACGGGGGGCAGCAGUAGGGAAUCUUCCACAAUGGGCGAAAGCCUGAUGGAGCAACGCCGCGUGGGUGAAGAAGGUCUUCGGAUCGUAAAACCCUGUUGUUAGAGAAGAAAGUGCGUGAGAGUAACUGUUCACGUUUCGACGGUAUCUAACCAGAAAGCCACGGCUAACUACGUGCCAGCAGCCGCGGUAAUACGUAGGUGGCAAGCGUUAUCCGGAUUUAUUGGGCGUAAAGGGAACGCAGGCGGUCUUUUAAGUCUGAUGUGAAAGCCUUCGGCUUAACCGGAGUAGUGCAUUGGAAACUGGGAGACUGGAGUGCAGAAGAGGAGAGUGGAACUCCAUGUGUAGCGGUGAAAUGCGUAGAUAUAUGGAAGAACACCAGUGGCGAAAGCGGCUCUCUGGUCUGUAACUGACGCUGAGGUGCGAAAGCGUGGGUAGCAAACAGGAUUAGAUACCCUAGUAGUC
rnacentral:rRNA from 1 species